CAUCCUCUCUGAAGUGGCUACAGUUCCUCAUGCAAUAUCUGGUACCAGAAACCACUUCAGUUGUGGCUGCUUUCUUCCAAGGACCUGUUGAUCUCCAAUUUGGAUUCUUCCAGCAUAAUACAUGAAGCAGCAUUAGUAAUGCUUACCUAAUCAGUGUUCACUCUCUGCCAGGCAGUUAGGCCCAUAGGCGAGGCUGUUUGUGUGCCUUGUCUUCCUUAGUCCUGACACACUUCAUAGUAAGCAUAAGUACUAUUACUAGCUCCACUGCAUAGAUGAGGAAACGAACACUUAAAGAGGCACACAGAAAGUGGCAGGGCCCUUGAAAGACAGGAAACAGCAGAGAACAAACCAGUGCUCUUUUCUACACUUGCUGGGGCCCAGAGCACAGACCAGGGCUGGGAGUGUAGUCCCCAAACCUGGCCACAGGGUCUGAGUCCAUUGCUCAUGAGCAGCAGAGGACACAGAUGGGGCUCUUUCUGGGAAUGAUACCUGAACCUUUAAAGGCCAGCGUGUCCUUUGAAAGGGGCUGUUUAGAGAGGAGGACAUCACCGGUGAGUCAAAGAGAUGGAAAUACCAGAGAUGGGCAGGGAGGGAAGGGUCCCAGCAGAAUAAGCAGGUGGCACCUUGAGAGGUACCUGGGCAAGUGACAGGAGGCAUUAGAGAGAACGCAGGAGGCAUCAGAGAGAAUGCCCAGGCCCUCAGACCUGGGAGAGACAGCAGGCCAGAGCCCCUCUGCAUGUGAACCUGGAGGCCUGCCGGCCUCUAGGUCAGCUUUGUUACAAAGAAUCACUGAAGCCACCCCUGUUUCUCUGGAACACUCCAUCUGCUUGAGGGGGUUCCAUGGGGCCAGGGACAGCAUCUUGGCCAGGGCCAUCCUGCAUUGAUUCGCGGGCAGUGUGUGGGAAAGGGGCUGCUGUUUCCUUUCAGGUACCGUUAGUAAUAACUUCAGUUCUAAUAGAUUCCAGCAGUAGUUCUCGACCAGCAAGGAUUGUGUCCCCAGGGAACAUCUGACAAUGUCUGGAGGCAUUUGUGGUUGGCACAGCUUAGAGGGACUGGGGCUGCUGGUAUCAGGUGGGUAGAAGCCAGGGGUGCUUCUAAACAUCCUUCAAUGCACAGCACAGCCUCCCACAACAAAGGGUUAUCUGGCCUCAAAUAUCAACAGUGCCCAAGUUGAGAAGCCCUGGAUUACAGGCCUCACUGGCAACCCCACUUCCUCAAACAGAGGGCUCCAGGGACAGACCAUGGGAGAAACUGGCUCAAAGCUUCGCCAGUGAGCAGAGAUGAACAGGAGAAAGCUGGUGAGUUUUUUCUCUCAUCAGCAACCUUGGAAAUCAAAGCUGCCAGGUAUUGUACACACAGACACACAUACAUGCAUACACUCACAUGCAGACACAUUCAGAUACACAAUCCAGAUGCCAGCUCUGGGCUAAACACCAUGCAGGCAGUGUCCCCAAAUUCUCCCAUAGCCCUGUGGAACAGGACCUGUUACUCUCUCCAGAUAUAGGUGAGGCUACAUGGAAGCUCAGAGAGGUUAAGUGACUUGCCCAAGGCCACACAGCUGGUAUGUGGACUUGGCCAUUGUAGGCACUCAAUAAGAUUUAGGAUAAAGUGGGAGCAAUUGAAAGAAAGCUGGAGAGAGGGCAGGGAACAGGACAUGGGUCCAGACUGCCACUCACUGGCUCAGGGACGGGGAAAUAAUCUGCUCACAUCCCUGGGCUUUUGUUUCUUUACAAGUAAAAUAAAGGAGCUAGACGGUCUCAUCUUCUAUAUUCUUUGAUUCUUUGAAUCUGAAUCUGAAUCUGAAACUGGAACCUUCUCCUCACACUAGAGAUUUUGAUUUCCCUGUCUCCUCUCCAUCUGUUAUACCUAUUCUUUUCCCAUAGAAGUUUGCCCUCAAUUUCAGGAAUGAAAAUCUCAUCUAUAAUCCAGGUGCACAGUAAGAAAAUCACACUAUUCUGUGAUCAGUUUACAAUAGUCUAUAAGAAAGCAAUAAUUCAUUGUAUUUUUUUCACUAGCUGUUGCCAGGAAAGCUAAUAUAUGCUGACAGAAAUGGAGGUAUGAGACAGAUGGCUGAAAAUGUAACACACGUAUAUUUUAAGUAUGUAGAUUUGAGCCAGAAAUAAAAUGAGAGAUGUGACAGCGCCAGGGCAGAGAGAGCGAGAGAGAGCGAGAGAGAGAGAGAGAUGUCUUUUUGGGACAAUAAGAUAAACUUGCCAAAAAUCAAAUCAGUUAGUUUCUGUGAGUCAUUCAUUGAUGCAAUUAUCUACUACAUAGAUGGCACCAUAUGUGAUGGUGAUGGAGAGAGGAGACAUCUACACAGGGGGUUGUCAAGAAUGCAUUCUGAUGGCCAAGAAGAACAGAAUAUUCUUAGCACUAUUUGCCUGUCUCUGUUUUACGUAAAAUUAACGAUUGUCACAACCUUUGAGAUGGGUCCUAUUAUUAUACCCAUUUGCCACAUGAAGAAAUUGAGUCACCAAAGAGGUUACAUGACUUGCCUUAGGUCACUGAGCUGAUAAGACUCAAGGAUAUGUUUUUUACCAAAAUAGUAGAUGCCAGCAUCUCUGCUUUUGACCAGGGCAUUAUUCUGCCUCCACAAGAAUAGGAAUACUGCUACUAUAAAAUGUUUCAGUGGAUCUGCGUGUCUCUUUCCUCCAAAAGUGAUAGAACUGAGAACUAAACGAUGCCUUUGGGUGACUGGAUCCAGUAGUUUUUCAUACUUUCUAAAUUGAAUAACUUUGAAAUGUUACUCAAAGCUCAGUCUGUGACAUAAGGAGAAAGGGGCUGGGAGGCUCAGACCUGCCCCCUCCUCACAGAGGCUCAGGAUCCAGGCUCCCUAGAACCCAGUGAAGAAUCAGUGCUUUAGACCUCUCCGGCCUCCCUACUCCCACUUCACAAGUGGCAAAACUGAGCCCCAUGGAGCCUAAAAACUAAAGUAGAAAGGACUCAUUCCUGACCAUCUAUCCUUCAGUAUGAUUUCCUGAGAACCUGCUAAGUCCUCAUCUGUGCCAGGAGGGUCACUGGGCUCUGAGGUGUGGAGAGCCAUGAAGCCAUGGGAGGCAGUUAUGAGGGUCUCUGCAUGAACAUGGCUUGGUUUCAUGGGAGGUUCCCGGGGUCAGCGCAGUGGAGCCCUGUCUCUAGGGACAUGAGGACAUAACUCAGUAACAGAGAAACCCACACUGGCCAUGGGAGACUGAGGUUGUGAUUCUACUCUGUUAGGAUUGCUCCUCUGAGGACCACCCCAAUCCCAGGUCCAAAAUAGACCACUUUGGACCAUUGCCGCUCAAAAGCCUGCUUGGCAGACUCAGUUAUUUUAGAGAAAGGCAAUGUUAUGGAUUGAACUAUGUCUCCCUCAAAAAGAUAUGUUGGGGUCUUUAUCCCUAAUACCCAGAAUGGGACCUUAUUUAGAGAUAGGAUCUUUACAGAGGUCAUCAAGUAAAACUGAGGUCAUUAGUGUUGGCCCUAACCAACAUGGAUGGUGGGGACCUUGGGUCCAGAGGCUGACAUGCACAAAGGAAGACGAUGUGAAGAAAUACCAGACGAAGAACACAGACAUCUAUGAGCCAAGAAUCGCCUUAGGCCACCAGGGGCUAAAAGAGAGGCCGGAACGCAUCCUUCCCUAGUGCCUACAGAGGUGCUCCUGUUGACACCUUGAAUUCAUCCUUGUGGCUUCCAGAACUUGAGACAAUACAUUUCUAUUGCUCUAAGCUGCUUUGGUGGCACUUUGUUACAGCAGCCUAUGAAAGUGAGCCGGGUAGGGUCCAAGCACUAUUGAUUCAGACAGCAAUGAUAUGAAUGCUUUCAUUUUGUUUUGCUUUUAUUGUUUUCACCCUCAUGUAGAAGACUCAUUUCUUAUUUUUUGCCACUGUAAAUUCUGGGGUCUAACAGUAUGUGCAUAUUUGUAAGGCUUUUAAUGAACUUGCUGUGGGAGAGUUACACCUUUCACUGUAAUCUCUGCCUUGCAUGUGAGGAAGGCAGAGAAUCAGACAAAAGAGUCAGAUGGAGGGUAGAUUCUUGAGAGCCCUGGCGAGGAGGUCACUGCCACGGCUGAUUCUAGGAACCAUUUCCCAUGCUGGGCCUCCCUCGCCAUGGGUGGCCAUAGACCACUGGAUUAGGAGGGCACCUUCAUCUCCACCCAAACCACAUGGCUCUCGUCAUCAUUCCUUCUCUCCCUCAAUGCCUCCUUCCCAGAAUCCUGGCCUGCCACUUAUUUUUCUUCUUAUAACCUGGAGGCAGUUGCUUGAAUCUGUAGGUCAGGCUGAAAUUAUAGUUCUAAGCAAAGCGACUGCGUGUUGGAGUGGAAAGAGUUCUGAGGCUCAGAGAAGCUGCGGGUGGGUUGCUGCUCUCUAACUAACCAGCUGCUUGUCCUCGAGGGAAUUGUGUUGAACUCCUUGAACCUCAGACUCGGCUAUGCUCUGAAUAUUUAUGUCCCUCCAGAAUUCAUAGGCUGAAAUGGAAUCCCCAGUGUGUUCGUAUUAAGAGACAGGGCCUUUGGGGAGUAACUAGGUCAUGAGGGUGGAGCCUUAUGGAUGGAGUUAGCGCUCUCAUAAAAGAGACCUUAGGGAACAUGUUUGUUCCUUUUGCCAUGAGAGAAUGCAGAAAGAAAGCACCACCUGUGAAGCAGACAGCGAGCCCCCGACUAGACACCAAAUCUUCCCAUGCCUUGAUCUUGGACUUCCAGUCUCCAGAACUGUGAGCAAGCUCACAAGGAUUCUGGACAUUUUUUUGUGGCGUGGUAUAAAAACAGAAGAGUCUGUUUGGAGAAAGCAGUUCUGAAGGCCAGAAGCCCAACACCAGUCUGACUGAGCCAAAACCAAGGUGACAGCAGGGCCACACUCCCUCCCCAUGCUCUCCCAGUUUCUGGCUGCUACUGGCAUUCCUUCCCUGUGGCCACAUCACUCCAGUCUCUGACUCUGUGGUCACAUUGCCUCUCUCUUCUGUAGACAGCACUUCUCCCUCUGGCUCUCACCUAUAAGGAUGCUUAUGAUUGCAUUCAGGGCCCUUCCAGGGUAAUCCAGGAUUAUCUCCCCAUGCCAACAUCCUUAACUAAAUCACAUCUGCCCAGGUUCUGUUUCCUUAUAAAGUAAUAUUCCAGGUUCCAGGGAUUGGUUCCUGAGAUCUUUUGGGGGCCACUAUUCAGCUAAGGUAUUUUACUAUGGCAGCUCGAAUAGACUGAGACACACUUCCUCUGUAAAAUCGAGGUGACCAUUUCAACUCUGCAGAAUUGGGCUCUGAACUUUUUUUGUGGAGUGCUUUAAAAAUGCAAGAGUCUGGGCCAGGUGCGGUGGCUCAUGCCUAUAAUCCCAGCACUCUGAGAAGCCAAGAUGGGUCAAUUACUUGAGG